CCUACGGGAGGCUGCAGUGGGGAAUAUUGGACAAUGGGGGCAACCCUGAUCCAGCCAUGCCGCGUGUGUGAAGAAGGCCCUCGGGUUGUAAAGCACUUUCAGUGAGGAAGAACGCCUGGUGGUUAAUACCCAUCAGGAAAGACAUCACUCACAGAAGAAGCACCGGCUAACUCCGUGCCAGCAGCCGCGGUAAUACGGAGGGUGCGAGCGUUAAUCGGAAUUACUGGGCGUAAAGCGCGCGUAGGUGGCUUGAUAAGCCGGUUGUGAAAGCCCCGGGCUCAACCCGGGAACGGCAUCCGGAACUGUCAAGCUAGAGUGCAGGAGAGGAAGGUAGAAUUCCCGGUGUAGCGGUGAAAUGCGUAGAGAUCGGGAGGAAUACCAGUGGCGAAGGCGGCCUUCUGGACUGACACUGACACUGAGGUGCGAAAGCGUGGGUAGCAAACAGGAUUAGAUACCCUGGUAGUC
rnacentral:rRNA from 1 species